rnacentral:lncRNA from 1 species
AGUCAAUUGAAUUAUCUAAUGGUUAACCAGGAAAACUUGUUUCAAUCUUUGCAGCAGAAACCCAUUCUUAGAAAUAGUCACGUUCAAGUAACCUCCAAAGAUGUUUCAGGUGCUUUAAAAAGACAAUAGAUGUGAGAAAAAGAAGCGCCUGAACCAUCUCCUCAUCCAUUCAUCAAGUAUCUCUUGAGCAUCUGCUGCGUGCCAACAUCUGAGGAUCAGUGGUACUCAGCCAAGGGAAGAGCCGCCUUGUCAAAUGAAUCCAGCGCCGAAAGCAGCAGAGCAGUGAAGUGGACAGACACACCUGGGUUCUGGGUAACAACAACUGACCUGCUGGAUCCACCAACCCCAAAUCCUGCCUGAGGUCAUCCAUCUUUCCCUGUUGGUUAAGAUCCUUGAUUUUACCAAUUAUUUCACUUUUGGCCAAACACCACAACUUUUCCUUAUUUGAGGAUCCAUUAUUUGAUAAUAUGUUCUAUUCUCCUGUAUCCCACACCUUGCCUAAAAUCUAAUUGGUUUAACAGCAUUUAAUUGAGAAUGACUGUAAGGUCAGUUUGACAGGUCGAGAUGUUCUUUUUUUUGUCUGUCUUUUUUUUUUUUUUUUUUUUUUUUGUCUUUUUCUAGGGCCGCACGCACCGCAUAUGGAGGUUCCCAGGCUAGGGGCCUAAUCGGAACUGUAGCCGCCCGGCCUACACCACAGCCACAGCAACACCAGAUCUGAGCCGCGUCUGUAAUCUACACCACAGCUCAGGGCAACACCAGAUCCUUAACCCACUGAACGAGGCCAGGGAUCGAACCUACAACCUCAUGGUUCCUAGUUGGAUUCCUUAACCACUGAGUCACAAUGGGAACUCCGAGAUGUUCUUAUUUUUCAAAAUCGUAUUGGCUGUUUUUGAACCUUUUCAUUAAAACAAAGUUUUGAAUCAGAAAGUAAAUUUCCACCACCACCACCACCAAAAAAAAAAAAAAAAAAAAAAAAAAAAUUCCUUGAAUUUACUCCUCCCUUCUGCAAGAUUCCUCUGAACUUCCCGCCACACUUUCUCGGCCAUCUCACCACUCCCAUGGCUUCCUUAUUUACUUAGGGUUCUGCUUACCAAGUGUUGGCAUUUCCUUGUACCAUAUCUUCCACGUGAUGGUCCAGCUCGAAUACAUCCAGUAAACUUACUGGUAAUGCAAAUAAGUUCCACAUUGAUAUAGCUUCUUUUCAGAAUCAGCAGCCACUCUGAAUUUCCCCACUUCAGAAAGAGUUGUAUCUGAAGAAGGCAGAGAGGGACUGGCAGAGUCCAAGAACAGGAAGUACAUGGGAGUUCCUGUUGUGACUCAGCAGA